NNGAGAAGAUUAGCAUGGCCCCUGUGCAAGGAUGACAUGCAAAUUCCUGAAGCAUUCCAUUUUUCU
rnacentral:snRNA from 1 species